CAAAGAUGAGAUGGUUGUAGAUGUGUGGUCUUAUAUCUGAGAUCUCUACUCUGUUCUAUUGGUCUAUGUGUCAAAACAGACCUUUUCUACACAGCAUCCUUGACAAAAAGGUCCAGCCUCCACUGCCACCGCCCCACCCCGCCCCCACAGUGACAGGAGCAAGCUCACUUCAUCCCUCAGCACCAUGUUCCUGAGGACUAGCUCUGAAGCUUCUGUCUUGUGUUGAGUUGAAAUAGUUCUCCCUAAAGCUCUCCUUGUGGGUCCAGUAUUGCCUUCUGAAGCCACACAGAAGCAUCCUGUUUCCCUUCCAUACAAUAGCCCUUUAGGUAUCUGUAGAUAAGCGGGCAACUCCUGGAGACUUCCCUGCUUCAGAAGAAAUACUUGCAGCGCCUUCUAUCAUUCCUUGCAUGAUAUAUGUGUCAGCAAGACCUGAGUUGCAAGCAGUAGAAACCCAUGCUAGCUGACUCAGGUAGAAAAGACAUUUCGUUAGAAGGAAAUGGGAGUGGUCACAGGAUUGGCAGAACAGUUGGAAAUCCAGCUGGAGAAAUAGACAGGAACAAGCCAGAAGCACACUGAAACCUAUCCAAAAGCAUCCCAGGAGGGCACACUGAGUGCCGCAUGGAGCCUGCACCACCAUGGGGAGGAAGCAGCCACCGCCUUCCUGAAUCCCCACCAGGCAGAAACAUCUCUCCCGUCUUUGAACUUCACCACGCCGUGCAUCUUCCUCUGGGUGUGCAAUCGUCACCUGCGUACAUGAUUGAUUCUGCCCCCAACACUAGACUGCAGAAAGAACUCAAAGCUCAGAUGGUCAGGGUCCUGUUGGUUCAUCAAGCUCAGCCUGCCUGGAGGCAGCCACUGUGUUGUUCCCUCUCUUCGUCCUCCCUCUGCACUCUCUCUUGCCACGGGACAUUUGCACAAGCAGUUCCCUCUAACUGGAACACUAAGAAAUAUGGAAGUAAAAGGGGUUGGGAGAAAAGACAGGAGUCACAGGUGACUGUGUGGGAUGAGGAGAGUCGUGAAAACUUUUUUUUUUUUUUUUUGAGAUGGAGUCUCGCUUUGUCACCCAGGCUGGAGUGCCAGUGGUGCCAA
rnacentral:lncRNA from 1 species